UACGUAGGGGGCAAGCGUUGUCCGGAUUUAUUGGGCGUAAAGAGCGUGUAGGCGGCCAGGUAGGUCAGCUGUGAAAACUCGAGGCUCAACCUCGAGACGCCGGUUGAAACCAUCUGGCUAGAGUCCGGAAGAGGAGAGUGGAAUUCCGUGGAUGUAGCGGUGAAAUGCGCAGAUAUCAGGAAGAACACCCGUGGCUAAGGCGGCUCUCUAGUACGGUACUGACGCUGAAGACGCGAAAGCGUGGGGAGCGAACAGG
rnacentral:rRNA from 1 species